UUUCAUAGAUUUUUUCACUAACUAAGCAAAAAAUUGAAUUAGGGAGUUACCCCUUUGUGGAUCAGUAAUCUCCCUCUUAGUUUAAGGCUGAGAAAAAUGAAAGUUGUCACUUUUUGGAUGAAAGAGCUUUUAUUUUAGAAAACAACUACCUGGUAUGCUUUACCUACAUUUCGUUACAGGCUUGAUGUAACUGAUUUUGGAGAUAUCCAGUAGUAAAUGAGGGAUUCUGCCUUUACAAUACUAUAAGCAGUUGAACUACGCACAUUAAAUGGAAAUGAUGGAGAGAAUGAAGUACAGAAUUAUUGCAGCAAAAUGGAAGAACUGGGAACAAUACCCUGUAUCCCCUGACAUCCCAUCCUAUUCAUAAGUAAAGAAGCCAGUGCUUCUUUGAGGAUUUUCUGGGAAAAGGAAGUAAAGUGAAAUUUAGAGCAUUGCGUAAGGAUACAGACUACGGAGGAUCGGUUCCAAAAAGUGCACGAUUAGCUAUCAGUAUGUAGGGCAUAUGUUUAACUGUAGGUAGCUUUUUCAGCUUCAUACUGCUACUAGUUUACCUUUAUUACU
rnacentral:lncRNA from 1 species